AAUUUUCGACAAUGGGGGCAACCCUGAUCCACCCAUGCCGCGGGUGUGAAGAAGGCCUCCGGAUGGUAAAGUACUUUAAGUUGGGAGGAAGGGCUUCAGGCUAACACCCUGAAGUCUUGACGUUACCAUCAGAACAAGCACCGGCUAACCCUGUGCCAGCAGCCGCGGUAAUACAGAGGGUGCAAGCGUUAAUCGGAAUUAGUGGGAGUAAAGCGCGCGUAGGUGGUUCAGGAAGAUGGGUGUGGAAACCCCCGGCUUAACCUGGGAACUGCCUUCAUAACUGCUGGGCUAGAGGACGGUAGAGGGUAGUAGAAUUUCCUGUGUAGCGGUGAAAUGCGUAGAUAUAGGAAGGAACACCAGUGGCGAAGGCGACUACCUGGACUGAUACUGACACUGAGGUGCGAAAGCGUGGGGAGCAAAC
rnacentral:rRNA from 1 species